rnacentral:tRNA from 1 species
UGGAUUGUGGCUCAGCGAUAGAGCACUCGCUUAGCAUGUGUGAGGCCCUGGGUUCAAUCCUCAGCACCACAU